AGUUAAACAGUACGUGAAAUUGUUGAAAGGGAAACGAUUGAAGUCAGUCAUACCAACGGGAAAUCAACCUCUUGAGUUUGGUCUCGUGGGUUUCGAAGAGUUUUAAAAGCCUUCGGAUUUUCGAGAUUGGGCUCUUCUGGUGUACUUUCUCGUACGGUUAGUCAACAUCGGUUUUGAAUGUCAUAAAAUGACUGGAGGAAUGUGGCUUCGAUCUCGUAUUGAAGUGUUAUAGCCUUUGGUAGAUGUGAUGUUCGAGACCGAGGAUUGCAACGGAUACCCUUCUGGGCUAUUCGUCUGAUCUCUGAAACGUUGCCUUGAUGUCGAAAGCUUGCUUAUGAUGUUAAGGGUAUUACGGUCAAAAGGUUAGAACGGAUUAAAUUCGUUAAGGAUGUUGACGUAAUGACUUUAAA
rnacentral:misc_RNA from 1 species